CAUGCCCAGUACUUGCCAACAAUGUGUAACAGAGACGUGACCGAUCGCCCAAGCGGCUAACAAGCCGAUCAGUGGUGAAGAGGAUAAAAGAAAAGUAAAAGAACAUGUAGGUAAUAAGAGCCAGUACAGCUGUAAAAUGGGAAGAGACGUCAUUCAGUUCCUACUGUCGUUGGCGACUGCGGCGUCGGCAAUGCAGUGUUGCACCGGUGUGUUUUUCUAUUUGUUACUCUGUUUAAAAUCCCAGGUUACGUUUAUGGAGAUUAUAUAUGGCAAUUACUAAAGGCGUUCCCGAAUUAUACAUUUUGGGUAAAAAAAAAUGUGCCACAAUGAAAUGGUUGCAUUGUAUACUAACGAUGGUGUUACUUCGUAGUUGUAAGGUUUGAGAAGUUGAUUUGUCGGUCUACCUAAAUGAGUCGUGAUU